rnacentral:lncRNA from 1 species
UGGUUUACAGUGGCUGCACUCAUCUCACUGCUCAGGACAGGAAGCUUCAUAGCAUGGUACAGCAGAAGAGGCAGAGCCAACAAAUACAGCAGAAACAACGAGGCUCAAACCAUCCUGGAGGCCAGGACGAGGUAUUUUGUUUGCCGAGAGGAGGAAACUGACCUUCUAAAUGUCAUUUUUAAAAAGCAAAAACAUGAGGCUGAUGGGAAGGAUAUUCCAUCCUGGAGGGUCACACAGAAGGAAGACACCAGACAGAGCUCGGAUCAGAGGCCACGGCGGGUGGCAGAUCUGUUCGCAGGAGCCUUGAGGCACAGAGUGCUGGGACUCCACCAGACCCCAUCCCUCAGUGAGAGCAAAGGUGACAGACAAUAAUUCUAUUCCUGUCACUUUCCCUGAGCAUUUUGUGGAAUCAAAAAUCCUGACUGAACUAACCUUCACCUCCCCGUAGAGAAGAUGGGCACCGCAUACAGUACGUCCCUGGACAGGAGAAACCCAGGGCCUCAAGUGCUGGAGGACAAAGAGGGCGGUGAGUGGCCUUGGAGGUACUGGGGCAGAGACGAGGGAGGAGGCAUCCUGGACCAGGGGAGCAGCGGGGCACCCUUCCCACUGAGUAAGGAGGUGGAAGGCUUGCAAUGUUAACCAAAGAGUGGCCUGAUCAGCCUUGUGCUUCAGAGACAUUCCAUGAGAAUGACCUGAAGGGAGAUAGCCUCACACCAGCCACUUCUGAGGGGAUGUGUGCAUGGGAACGCACGGUCGGACAAGCUGCUCCAAAUGUGUGACAGAAGAAAAUGGGCAGCAGGGUGUGGUGCCACAUGCCUAUAGCUCCAGCACUUGGAAGGCUGAGACAGAAGGGUCACUGAGAGUUCAAGGCCAGCCUGGGCUGCAUAUAGUGAGACCCUGAACCAAAAAACAAAUACAAAAUGAAAAAGGAAAAUGGACAGAAGCUCUCAUUCAUGGAGUAGUUACUAAGUGCUAUUUAUACACAUUACCACUUCUAAUUCAGUAUAAAUCUAUUUCCUCUAGCUAGUUUCAGAGAAGUCUAGUAACUCACCAAAGGUCACACAGUAAGUAGCAUGGAACCCAGUUCAUCUGCCUCAGAAGCCCAAAUCCAUGUGCCCACUGGGGGGGGGGGUGUCUGCAGGCCCUUGUAGGUAUAAGAUAGAAGCUGCCCUGUCUCUGAUGUAGACUGCUGGUGGAAGAACUAUCCUCUCUACUCUGAGAUUCAGAUUCAAAUAUGAAUAUUGAUCAGUAAACCAGUAGCCGAAGUUUCAUUUCUGCGACUGAGGCAGCGGCUUAUUUCAAUGUGUCUG